AACAAUGCCCUUUGGAGUGUUGUUAGUAGAAAAACAGUUAUAAACAAAUUAGAUUAAAUAAAAAUAAUACUAAUAUAAAUAAAUAAAAAAAUUAAAUUGGAACCAAAACAUAAAAAAUUCUAAGUAAUUAAUAUGAACUUUUUGACAAAGAAAUAAAAAUAAAAUUACUCAAGAUAAAUAAAGUUUGGGCAUGAAAAUGCUCGAAAAAUUAAA
rnacentral:lncRNA from 1 species